rnacentral:rRNA from 1 species
AACGAACGCUGGCGGCAUGCCUAACACAUGCAAGUCGAACGAGACCUUCGGGUCUAGUGGCGCACGGGUGCGUAACGCGUGGGAACCUGCCCUUAGGUUCGGAAUAACUCCCCGAAAGGGGUGCUAAUACCGGAUAAUGUCUUCGGACCAAAGAUUUAUCGCCUUUGGAUGGGCCCGCGUUGGAUUAGCUAGUUGGUAGGGUAAAAGCCUACCAAGGCGACGAUCCAUAGCUGGUCUGAGAGGAUGAUCAGCCACACUGGGACUGAGACACGGCCCAGACUUCUACGGGAGGCGGCAGUGGGGAAUAUUGGACAAUGGGCGAAAGCCUGAUCCAGCAAUGCCGCGUGAGUGAUGAAGGCCUUAGGGUUGUAAAGCUCUUUUACCCGGGAUGAUAAUGACAGUACCGGGAGAAUAAGCUCCGGCUAACUCCGUG